rnacentral:rRNA from 1 species
UACGUAGGUGGCGAGCGUUGUCCGGAUUUACUGGGCGUAAAGAGCGCGCAGGCGGUCGUUCAAGUCGAGUGUGAAAGCCCCCGGCUCAACUGGGGAGGGUCACUCGAUACUGAUCGACUCGAAGGCAGGAGAGGGAAGUGGAAUUCCCGGUGUAGUGGUGAAAUGCGUAGAUAUCGGGAGGAACACCAGUGGCGAAGGCGGCUUUCUGGCCUGUUCUUGACGCUGAGGCGCGAAAGCUAGGGGAGCGAACGGG